AAGCUUGCUUUUGAUGGGCGUCGACCGGCGCACGGGUGAGUAACGCGUAUCCAACCUGCCCACCACUUGGGGAUAACCUUGCGAAAGUAAGACUAAUACCCAAUGACGUCUCUAGAAGACAUCUGAAAGAGAUUAAAGAUUUAUCGGUGAUGGAUGGGGAUGCGUCUGAUUAGCUUGUUGGCGGGGUAACGGCCCACCAAGGCAACGAUCAGUAGGGGUUCUGAGAGGAAGGUCCCCCACAUUGGAACUGAGACACGGUCCAAACUCCUACGGGAGGCAGCAGUGAGGAAUAUUGGUCAAUGGACGAGAGUCUGAACCAGCCAAGUAGCGUGCAGGAUGACGGCCCUAUGGGUUGUAAACUGCUUUUAUAAGGGAAUAAAGUGAGUCUCGUGAGACUUUUUGCAUGUACCUUAUGAAUAAGGACCGGCUAAUUCCGUGCCAGCAGCCGCGGUAAUACGGAAGGUCCGGGCGUUAUCCGGAUUUAUUGGGUUUAAAGGGAGCGUAGGCCGGAGAUUAAGCGUGUUGUGAAAUGUAGACGCUCAACGUCUGCACUGCAGCGCGAACUGGUUUCCUUGAGUACGCACAAAGUGGGCGGAAUUCGUGGUGUAGCGGUGAAAUGCUUAGAUAUCACGAAGAACUCCGAUUGCGAAGGCAGCUCACUGGAGCGCAACUGACGCUGAAGCUCGAAAGUGCGGGUAUCGAACAGGAUUAGAUACCCUGGUAGUCCGCACGGUAAACGAUGGAUGCCCGCUGUUGGUCUGAAUAGGUCAGCGGCC
rnacentral:rRNA from 1 species